UUUGUUCUUAGUGUGUGUGAAUGUAUGCAUUUUUUUUAUUUCUUUGAGUGGAGUAAUCUGUUACAGAAGUAACAGUGCUGUUACUCUCUAAAUUUACGCUGUUAGCAGAAACGCCGACGUCAUAAAGCCAAUUGGCAAAUUCUGACAGAUUUGUUUUCUUAUUUUCUUUCAUCAAUUUUAUUUUGUACGUACCCCAGUUAAGUUGCAAAUUAGGUGACAAUUUAUUUACUAAUUCUUGUAUAAGCGAAGAAUUAUUUAACUCAUCAUACAUUCCACAGGCCUCUAUUGUGACUUUUAAACCCUGAACUUCGACACCAAAAGAAAAUUUAAUAUUUUCUCUGGCUGGCCAAAUAAAAGCUUAAUUGUUGAAACAGCUGCUGGGACGCAAUUCGGAUGUAUAAGGAUAUGUUGCACUGACUUUAAUGCGUCACCUCGAAGAGCCUUUUGAAGUCUGAUCAGAUUUUCAGCAUCUGUCAAUCCGCACACAGAUGUGGACCAUUCGUACGUCGAAUUAAAAAGGGGCCACUCCUCCGGAUUGCCGGUGAAUAUAGGAAGCUCUUUUGGGACUGUUUGCCGGGAAAUAAUUUGCUGCUGUGUUAAAUGAUUUCUAGAGCUGCUGGGUAUAGGAUUGCCCGUAAAUGAUGGUAAUGACAUUGGGUUAUGCUGUGUGUUGUUGUACAUUUCGCCGGGGGCUGUAUUAUUGGUGUCAUGGCUUACUAAAUUAUAUGUUAACACAUUUUCUCUAAAUAAAGCGUGAUUAUUUUGCUGUUGAA